rnacentral:ncRNA from 1 species
AUAAAAUUGUAGGGGGACCAGUGUUGCUGGUUGAGAUAGUAUCCGUAAGAUAUAGACCCUUUGAACCUGAUCUGGUUGAUGCCAGCGUAGGGAACAUACGAGAUUUACAU